rnacentral:rRNA from 1 species
CCCUUAGAUGUCCUGGGCCGCACGCGCGUUACACUGAUGCAUUCAACGAGCUUAUAACCUUGGCCGAGAGGCCCGGGCAAUCUUGUUAACGUGCAUCGUGAUAGGGAUAGAUUAUUGAAAUUAUUAAUCUUGAACGAGGAAUUCCUAGUAAACGCAGAUCAUCAAUCUGCAUUGAUUACGUCCCUGCCCUUUGUACACACCGCCCGUCGCACCUACCGAUUGGAUGGUCCGGUGAAGCCUCGGGAUUGUGGUUCUUGCCGCUUUAUUGUGGCGUGACCGCGAGAACUUGUCUAAACCUUAUCAUCUAGAGGAAGGUGAGGUCGUAACA